rnacentral:rRNA from 1 species
CUUGGCUUGUGGAUGCUAUGAAGACCAUAGCUAAGUGUGAGAAUGGCAGCGAGCCGUCGCUAUAUGCGCUGUCCUCUUCUUAUCACAUGUUGAAUGCAUAUUGCGCCCCACCCAGCGGUCAACCUCCUGCAGACAAAAGCCUGGUUGGAACAAAGGGUGUGUGGCCCUCGAGCAACGGCGGGGGAGCCAGGAGCACAUUUGCGUGCGGACCAACCACUCGUUAGUAGUCAGGCUGAACCCUAUGGUGGGGCACUCCUAGUGGAGUGUGGUGGAUCGGGCUCUUCUCUUGUUGCGCUUGCGCGAAGUAGUUUGAGUUUGUUGCUGGUUGAUUUGGGUCGACAUCAGUCGUGCCCAACUGCCUUGGCUCGUGCCUCUGUACGUUUUACCUCAUACAUUGAAGGCCAACGCUGGCGAUCACUCGUGCGGCCAGGGCACUACCUUCGUGGUAGUGCGCAGAGGUCCAAGAAAAUCGUAAUACGAGAGUCGGGUCUCUGGUGCUCUUCUCGCCGCACAGUGAGUGGUUGGUGUCCCCGCGUAUACGCUUGUGGUAAAGGUGUACUAUUCGAGAAUCACCUCACCUCUUUUUUUUUGUACACACACGACGAACAAACGCACGAGUUCAGGACGGAUUUUAACAGUGUGAAGAAAAAGUAACAGAUGGGCAGUGUCGCGCCACUCCACGUUUGUAGCUUUGUGCGCCGAGGAAUGAGAGAGACCCGCACUCUCGAUCCACCACCUCCACUUAGGAGAGGUUACCCGCUGAACUUAAGCAUAUCAGUAAGCGGAGGAAAAGAAACCAAUCAGGGAUUCCCUUAGUAGGGGCGACCGAAAAGGGAUGAGCCCAGCGCAUAACCUCCCGGGCCACCCGGCCUGCGGCGGAAUGUUGCGUUAAGGGAAAGGUCGUAGUCAAACCCCACAGCCACGCGAGCACUAAGUAAGUCACGAAUUGGCUAGCCCAACUAACGGCGGGAGAAUCUCCACGGAGGGUGUAAGACCCGUGUGGGCGCGUGUAAAUGCUGUGUGGGCUCGGCCUCUUUUCCCUGAGAGUCGCGUUGCUUGAGCAUGCAGCGCUAAGCAGGUCGUAAACUCGAUCUAAGGCUAAAUAUGUCCACAAGACCGAUAGCGAACAAGUACCGUGAGGGAAAGUGAAAAGCACUCUGAAGAGAGA